rnacentral:hammerhead_ribozyme from 1 species
AUCCAGAUGACGAGUCUCAGAUAGGAUGAAACGGGUGUCCUGGAU